rnacentral:siRNA from 1 species
UGUGGUUAAAGCGCACGGAUC